AUGACUAACUCAAUACAAGCCUCAAGUACUAGUCCAGUUUGGAGGACCGUUUGGAAAUUGAAUGUGCCAUCAAAAGUAAAAAUCCACGUGUGGAAAACUUUACUCGGAGCGAUCCCAUGUCAAGGAGUUCUUGCAAAUAGACACAUAAUAACUAGUUCUCAAUGCCCUUUGUGUAACUCAGAUUGUGAGAGCAUUCGACAUGCUCUCUUCCUAUACCCGCGUGUUCAACAAGUUUGGCGCCUGCUUGGUUUGGCAUCAGUGGUUAACGAGGUUUGCAUGAUGGAAAGGGAGGGCGGCUCAGUUAUGGCUGAUCUGCUUAUGUCCAAGAACCCAACGAAGGCGUUGGUCUGUGAUGUCCAGCGCAAUGACCUUGUUACCACAGCGGUGUGGUAUUUAUGGUGGGAGCGACAUAGCUUUACCCAUGGUGAGCAACUAUAUGAACCCACUAGAUCGGCGCAAGCAAUUUCAGCACUUGCGAAAAAUUUCUCAAGAGCAAAUUCAAAGAAGGGCAGAAUAAAAAGACAUGGCUGGCAGCAGCCAUUGGAGGGCAUGCUUAAACUGAAUUUUGAUGCUGGUUUUGAUAGUGACAGCGGCACCGGGGCGACAGGUGCGAUUCUACGGGACCAUACGGGCUUCUUUGUGGCAGCAUGAUAUAGCAAUAUUCCAUUCGUACAAGAUGCGGCAACGGCAGAAGCACGGGGAUUACGAGAUGGACUCCUCCUUGCCAAUGAAAUGGGAUGUAACAAAAUUUGCGUAGAAGGUGAUUUUUUGCGGGUAAGUUAUUGA
rnacentral:rRNA from 1 species